rnacentral:rRNA from 1 species
CUACGGGUGGCACCAGUGAGGAAUAUUGGUCAAUGGGCGCGAGCCUGAACCAGCCAUCCCGCGUGCAGGAUGACGGCCCUAUGGGUUGUAAACUGCUUUUCUAUGCCAAGAAACCCUGUUACGAGUAACAGGUUGCCGGUAGCAUAGGAAUAAGCAUCGGCUAACUCCGUGCCAGCAGCCGCGGUGAUACGGAGGAUGCAAGCGUUAUCCGGAUUCAUUGGGUUUAAAGGGUGCGCAGGUGGGCUGGUAAGUCAGUGGUGAAAUGCUGCCGCUUAACGGUAGAACUGCCAUUGAUACUGCGAGUCUUGAGUAUGGUUGAGGUAGGCGGAAUGUGUUGUGUAGCGGUGAAAUGCAUAGAUAUGACACAGAACGCCAAUUGCGAAGGCAGCUUACUAAGCCAUUACUGACGCUGAGGCACGAAAGCGUGGGGAGCGAACAGGAUUAGAUACCCCCGUAGUC